GUGAUGGUUGUUCUAUAUUUUAGUUCUGAUUUUGGUGUGGUUGUGCAAAGAGGUGAGCCAUGUCUGCCUUUGCUGCCAUCUUGACUGGAUAUCCCUUUUCAUCUAUUUUUAGUAGAUUCUUAUUUGGUUAAAAACUAAAUUCUAAGCCAUAGUUCUAAGUUAACUGAAUUCUAAGACAUCUGUACUGGCCAACAUGUGUAGGCACUUUACACAUAUGGUUCCUGCUCUGUAAGCCCAGAGUCUUGCUGUUAAGACAGUAUAUAUCCAGCAAGAAAGAGAACUACCAAAAGCAGUAUUUCUAACAGCAGAUCUGUAGGUAUAGGGAGAUAGAUUGGGACUUCCUACUUUUGUUCUACCUUUCUUCUUUAUUUCAUUACAUUUAUGAAUGUACUCUCUGUGCCCCUGGGUCCCAUUUCCCAUCCGGUAGCAGCAGUAAUUACUGUUGGGAUAAACCUCCCAGCUAUGAGGCCAGCUAUUCUUGAUCAUCUCUGCAGCCUGGCUUCCACCUCUAUCCCUCCAUAACAAUGCUUCUGUUGCUCUUCAUCAGCUGCAUGCUUACAGUUGUUUGUUUUUCUGGUGAAGCAUUGGUGUUCCAAAAAUACCACCAAGCCUAAAACUAUUUCUCUGUUUAAUACAUCUUUUGUCUGAGGCUUAGUUACUGUUGCAGUUGAUAGCAUGACUGCUGAUGGCAAGCAAUAAAUGAAUGUUUAAAUAGUGUGUAAUUCAGCAGAUGUGCUCAUCUGGGUGAUUCUCUUGAUAGCUGCCACUCGGUAGAUAGAGGGAGAACCAAUAACUGAGUGUAUACGGGGUUGUUCCAGAUGUUAUCUGAUUUUUGGCUAGGUCAUUCUUGGUGAUUUUAGUUAGUUUGACUUAUUUUGCCUCUAUUCAGGUUUUGUGGCUCUAUUUUGCUACUUUAUUUUGAUACAUGUGAGCAAUGUGGCUUCCAUUUAGGGAUGUUUAAAUUUCCAAGACAUGAAGAUUAUAGUGCAGUUUUAGUAAUUCCCAGUGAUCAUCACCAAAUAAUGUUUUUGGUAGUCCCAGUUGUAUAAAUCUCAUAUUCUUAAGUGCACAUACAGUACACCACACCCUCUAUCAAAACAUGACCAUCAUGGCUGUCCCACUUUAGAGAUUACUCAAGGAAGGAAGGAAACUACCUAUCCACUAUUACUGUACAGUAUUUAAAAUACACAGACCAAUACAUCUUAGCACGGGACAAUCUUUGUGAAUAUACUCUGUCAAUUAUGAUAACUAAAUAUCUUUUCCAUGAACCUAGCAAUCAGUUUUCUUGUAGUUCCUUGCAAAACUGUUGUUAAAUUACUUUGUAGCUGGCUGGCUAUGUCUCUUAGCUAGAACAAUGGUACUGGAAUUAGGUCAGAUUUAGCCCUAUGCUGCCCAUCUUUCCGAAGUUAUGGUUAACCAUGAGUUUAUACCAGAUGAGGUAGGAUGUAUAAUUGGGUACAAGUACAUUCCUGGAAAACAUACCAAAAUCAUGUUCUGUUAAAAAUAGAAAUAAUUUAUUCUCCGUCCCAUUAUGGAUUGCAUUUUUAUACCUAUAGCAAGAACGUAUCAUUUUUU